rnacentral:rRNA from 1 species
UACGGGGGGAGCAAGCGUUGUUCGGAUUUACUGGGCGUAAAGGGCGCGUAGGCGGCCAGCACAAGUCAGUUGUGAAAUCUCCGAGCUUAACUCGGAACGGUCAACUGAUACUGUGCGGCUAGAGUGCGGAAGGGGCAACUGGAAUUCUUGGUGUAGCGGUGAAAUGCGUAGAGUAUCAAGAGGAACACCUGCGGCGAAGGCGGGUUGCUGGGCCGACACUGACGCUGAGGCGCGAAAGCUAGGGGAGCGAACGGG